rnacentral:rRNA from 1 species
ACAAAAACAUGUCUCUUUGGUUAUUUAAUAUAGAGAGUUUGACCUGCCCGGUGAUAGUUGAUUAUUUUUUAAACGGCCGCAGUACUUUGACUGUGCGAAGGUAGCAUAAUUAUUUGCUUUAUAAUUGAAGGCUUGUAUGAAUGGUUUGACGAGAAUUUAUCUGUCUUAAUUUAAUUUUUUAGAAUUUAACUUUUAAGUGAAGAGGCUUUUAUAUUAUUGAUAGACAAGAAGACCCUGUCGAGCUUAAAUUUUUAGUUUAAUAUGUAUAUUAUAUUAUUUGUAGAUUUUAGUUGGGGUGACUAAGGAAUAGUACAAGUUUCCUUAUAUUAUUUAAAAUUUAUCGAUUUUGAUCCAUACUUUUGUGACUGGUAGAAUUAGUUACCGCAGGGAUAACAGCAUAAUCUUUUUUGAGAGUUCAUAUCGAAAAAUGGGUUUGUGACCUCGAUGUUGGAUUAAAAUUUCCUAAAGGUGUAGAAGUUUUUAAGGGUUAGUCUGUUCGACUAUUAAAAUUUUACAUGAGCUGAG